rfam:Triticum aestivum genome assembly, contig: Triticum_aestivum_CS42_TGACv1_scaffold_576804_7BL
AACAUACUCCCUCCGUCCAGAAAUAAUUGUCAUCAAAAUGAAUAAAAGGAGAUGUAUCUAGAUGUAUUUUAGAUCUAGAUACAUCCCUUUUUAUCCAUUUUGAUGACAAGUAUUUUCGGACGGUGGGAGUAUCAC